AAUGGGCGCAGCCUGAUCCAGCCAUGCCGCGUGAGUGAUGAAGGCCCUAGGGUUGUAAAGCUCUUUCGCCAGGGACGAUAAUGACGGUACCUGGAUAAGAAGCCCCGGCUAACUUCGUGCCAGCAGCCGCGGUAAUACGAAGGGGGCUAGCGUUGUUCGGAAUCACUGGGCGUAAAGCGCACGUAGGCGGAUCUUCAAGUCAGGGGUGAAAUCCCGAGGCUCAACCUCGGA
rnacentral:rRNA from 1 species